UACGGAGGGUGCAAGCGUUAUCCGGAUUUACUGGGUUUAAAGGGUGCGUAGGUGGGUAGGUAAGUCAGUGGUGAAAUCUCCGGGCUUAACCCGGAAACUGCCAUUGAUACUAUUUAUCUUGAAUACUUUGGAGGUAAGCGGAAUAUGUCAUGUAGCGGUGAAAUGCUUAGAUAUGACAUAGAACACCAAUUGCGAAGGCAGCUCACUACGGAUAUAUUGACACUGAGGCACGAAAGCGUGGGGAUCAAACAGG
rnacentral:rRNA from 1 species